rnacentral:rRNA from 1 species
AUUGAACGCUAACGGCGUGCUUAACACAUGCAAGUCGAACGGCAGCACAGUAUGUAGCAAUACAUAUGGGUGGCGAGUGGCGGACGGGUGAGUAAUACGUAGGAAUCUACCUUGUAGUGGGGGAUAACCCGGGGAAACUCGGGCUAAUACCGCAUAAUCAUUACGAAGCAAAGAGGGCCUCUGAAUAUGCUCUUGCUAAAAGAUGAGCCUACGUCGGAUUAGCUAGUUGGUGGGGUAAAGGCCUACCAAGGCGACGAUCUGUAGCUGGUCUGAGAGGAUGAUCAGCCACUCUGGGACUGAGACACGGCCCAGACUCCUACGGGAGGCAGCAGUGGGGAAUAUUGGACAAUGGGCGAAAGCCUGAUCCAGCAACGCCGUGUGUGUGAAGAAGGCCUUAGGGUUGUAAGCACUUUCAGUGGGGAAGAAAAGUUCAAGGCUAAUACCCUUGAAUCUUGACGUUACCCACAGAAGAAGCACUGGCUAACUCUGUGCCAGCCGCCGCAGUAA